GGGUGGUUAGCUCAGCUGGGAGAGCAUCGCCCUUACAAGGCGAGGGUCACAGGUUCGAUCCCUGUCGCGCCCACCA
rnacentral:tRNA from 1 species